rnacentral:SRP_RNA from 13 species
CCAGGAUAGGAAGGCAGCAGAGGUCAGCCAA